GCACGGAAGAAGAAUGAGAUGGAGCAAGAGCUUGGUCGCAAAGUUAGUAGGGGAGAAGUUUGGAUAGCAACACAUAAACAUGCUAAUGGGGAAUUUGUGAAUGAUGGAGCAAGAGAGAUUGGAGAAAAAAUUAAAGCAUAUGAGACAAAUACAUCUUCCCUU